GGGGAUGUGGCGGAACUGGUAGACGCGCUAGCUUCAGGAGCUAGUUCUCGCAAGGGAGUGGGAGUUCGAUUCUCCCCAUCCCCA
rnacentral:tRNA from 1 species